CCUCCUUUCUGCCGCCGUGAGGAAUAUUGGUCAAUGGGCGCGAGCCUGAACCAGCCAAGUAGCGUGAAGGAUGACUGCCCUACGGGUUGUAAACUUCUUUUAUAAAGGAAUAAAGUGAGGCACGUGUGCCUUUUGGUAUGUACUUUAUGACUAAGGAUCGGCUAACUCCGUGCCAGCAGCCGCGGUAAUACGGAGGAUCCGAGCGUUAUCCGGAUUUAUUGGGUUUAAAGGGAGCGUAGAUGGGUUGUUAAGUCAGUUGUGAAAGUUUGCGGCUCAACCGUAAAAUUGCAAUUGAUCCUGGCAGCUUUGAGUACAGUUGAGGUAGGCGGAAUUCGUGGUGUAGCGGUGAAAUGCUUAGAGAUCAUGAAGAACACCGAUUGCGAAGGCAGCUUACCAAUCUAUAUCUGACGUUGAGGCACGAAAGCGUGGGGAGCAAACAGGAUUAGAUACCCUUGUAGUC
rnacentral:rRNA from 1 species